CGCUUGUCUAACAAGUGAAGUGGUUUCUGCUCAUUGCACUUGAAGUUUCCUCCAUAGCCCCAGAGCGCACUUUGAAACAGGGCAUGUGCUGUGCGAAUGAGGGAAGAUGAAUAGCAAGCUUUACUAUCCAACAUUUUCUCUUGAGCUUUGCAAACUUUAUCUCCAAGGCAGACUCUAUUGUGUCCCACCUGACUGGCAAGAAAGACGCAACAAACCGGAAUCUUCCGCGGCAAAAGCUUUAUUGCUUACUUCUUCAGGAAGACCCCGAACCGGAAAAUGGCGCCGCUUUUAUAACCCACAGUGUGACGUUUUAGCACCUGAUAUGGCGUGACAGCUCCUGAUUCGUUGCUCGCACAUCACCCCAUUAUUACACCCCGAGAAUGGGAGUGACUAGGAGUGAGUUCACUCUCGCACCUGCAUACAAGGCUUGUUUACUAGUUAGGCACAGCGGAGGCCAGCACCAUCUUAUAAUGGCGACUGUUCGCGGCACGGCUCUCCACAAGACUCUGCCAUCUCCAUGUGUUUUCCUAUCACCUCUAUUCCUUCUUCUAAUUUUAUUUUCCUUCUUCUAAUUUUUCUUUUCUUCAAAAUCUCAUUGUGGUUAUCAAUACCUUGCUUUCUUGUGCAUGAUUUGCGAUACGGUCUGAGUUAUUUUGAAUGAAGAACUAAAUGUGAG
rnacentral:lncRNA from 1 species